rfam:Triticum aestivum genome assembly, contig: Triticum_aestivum_CS42_TGACv1_scaffold_292071_4AL
AUGAUACUCCCUCCGUCCGGAAAUACUUGUUAUUAAAAUGAAUAAAAAGAGAUGUAUCUAGACGUAUUUUAGUUAUAGAUACAUCACUUUUUAUCCAUUUUGAUAACAAGUAUUUUCGGACAGAGAGAGUACAUC